rnacentral:lncRNA from 10 species
GCAGCGCUAGGACAGCGCCCCUGCGCGGCCGCCAGCUCCGGCGCAGCGCCUCCCUACACGCGCGCCAACCGGGGCGCCCCCGGCCCGCAGGAAUCCCCGCGGCGGGCGCAGGCGGGGGUGUUUGGGUGGCUACCCGAAAGCACGAGGGGAGUCUGGGAAAACGGGAGGGGGCGAGCUCGGGAAGACGCAGGAGUGAGGGUGGGGGGCCACGGGGGGGCACUGCGGCUACAGAGCCCCGAGUGGGAGGCCGGGGGGAGGCGGGGGCGCCGGAGCUGGGCUGCCUCUUACCUAUCAGGAAAUUAAAAUUUUAAGGGCUAAUUCCCCUUCAUUCAAGAAAUAUUUACUGUGAUGAAGACAUGUUCCAUGCAGAGGAAAUGGCCAAUGCAAAGAGCCCCUGACUGGAGGGCAUUUGGCACAUUCUAGGAGAGUGAGGAGGAUUCUAUGGGCCAGGAAUUCAGACAGGGCACAGUGUUGAUGGCUUGUCUGUGUCCUGGCUGGGAUGGCUCAAAUGGUUGUGGGACUAUUUGACUUGAAAGGCUGGAGCCUGGAAUCAUUUGAAACAUUGUUCACUCAUGUGUCUGGCACCUGCGUUAGAAUGACUGAAGGCUACAUCAACUAGAGUACUUACAUCCGGUCUCUCCAUGUGACUUGGACUUUUCACAGCGUGGAGGCUGGAUUUCAAAGGCAGGAAGACACCAUAUCAGGAAAAAGAGAGUGAACAACUGAGUCAAUUGCUGCUGAUGGUCAAGUCAGAAGAAGACUUGGAAUUAACAUAAGAUCUAGCAUCAUGUUUGUGUUAUGUAUAAGAUAUUAACAUUGAUUGCAGAUGCCCACAAUGUUUAUGAUCUGACUGAAUUCUUUAGUGGAAUCACAAAAGUUCAACAUACUCAGAUGUGUACAGUAGGUUAGUAGAGUUUGUAGGGAUAAUUAUGGCAACAUAUUUUAUAUUUCCUAAAUAACUUUAACUUGAAAAAUUCCUAUGAGGACAGAGAUACUAAAGUACAGUGGAUGCUAUGUUUAGUCUCACUAUGCAAUUUAGUCUUGUCUCUAAGAUUAGACUUCUAAACAUUCUUAAGAUUUUGAGAAAGAGAGGGAGAGAGAGAGACACUCAUAUUAAUAGGAAAAAUUGCCAAGAUAUGUCCUAAUUUUUAAACCAAAUAUUUUAAAAUAUUUUAGACAAAAGUUUAUAUCUAGGAAUCUACUUCUAGAUUUAUUAGUCUUUACUGAUUUAAAACUUUACAAAAUAACAAAUAAUAGCUUUCACCUUUUUAAAAACUAUUUUAAAAGACUAAUGUAAGGUAAUUUACUGCAAAAGACAAAUAUCAAUACCAACACCUAGUUUUAAGUUGGAAAAUGUGAAAUAAAAUCUUAUGUAAAAUACAUCAAUACCCAACAAUAUAAUAAUAAUGUAACAUAAAAUUACCAUGUCAUUGGUGGGACACACAAUUUACUAAAGUGUAAAAACCAUAACAUAACUCUUGGAAUCUCUAUAGAACUACAAAAUAUAGUUGAUGCUUGAACAAUGCAGGCAUUAGGAGUGGCAACUCCACAAAGUUGAAAAUCUGCAUAUAACUUUAGACUCUCCAAAAACUUAACUUCUAAUAGCCUACCAUUGACCAGAAACUUUACUGAUAAUGCAGUAGAUUAUCACAUAUUUUGUAUCUGCAUUAUAUACUGUAUUUUUAAAAUAAAAUAAUCUAGAGAAAAGUGAGUAUUGACGGGGCAUGGUGGCUCAUGCCUGUAAUCCUAGCAUUUUGGAAGGCUGAGGUGGGUGGAACACCUAAGGUCAGGAAUUCGAGAUCAGCCUGGCCAACAUGACAAAAUCCCGUCUCUACUAAAAAUAUAAAAAUUAGCUGGGUGUGGUGUCAGGCACCUAUAAUCUCAGCUACUUGUGAGGCUGAGGCAGGAGAAUCGCUUGAACCCAGGGAGGUGGAAGUUUCAGUGAGCCGAGAUCACACCACUUCACUCCAGCCUGAGCAAAAGAGCAAGACUCCGUCUCAAAAAAAAAAAAAAAAAAAAAAAAAGUGAAUGUUAAGAGAAUCAUAAGGAAAAGAAAAUAUAUUUACUACUCAUUAAGUGAAAGUGGAGCAUCCUAAAGAUCUUCAUCCUCAUCAUUUCCAGAUUGAGUAGGCUAAGGAGGGGGAAGAAGAAGAGGGCUUGGUCUUGCUGUCUCAGUGGAGGCAGAGGCAUAAGAAAAACGUGGAUAAAUGGAUCCAUGCAGUUCAAACCCCUGUUGUUCAAGGGCCAGCUGUAUGCUUAAACACAUCCCUGGGGGUUGUAAAACUAAUGUUACUGUUGUUUUCAUUUUGCAAUUUUUCCAUCUUGAUAUAAAAGCAAAAGUAAAGCUAAUCUAUGUACAAUUUAUUAUAGGUCAACUGAGAAUGGCAGAGGACUCAUCCCACCUUUGCCACAUGGUGACUUGCCCCACUCCCCCAGGUGACCUUGCUCGUGCAUGUGGAUAUUUGCUCAGAUUAAGAAUGUUUCCCACAAAAUUGCUUACUCUCUUUCAUUCUGUCCGUGGUUGCUUGUGGUUUAUUUGUUGAUAACUGAGACUAUUUAAAGAUUGCCAAAACAAAAGCCAUUUCUUUUCUCCCCGAAUAGCCUCAUUUUUUCUAUUCCCUUUUUCCCCUCCUAUUAACAUUUCUGGGGACUCUAAAGCAGAGCUCAAGAUGGUUCAGGACCACGGAGAGCGCAAGGAAGGGGAACUACCAAAGCACUUUAGUCAUGCAGGUGGGGAAAGAGAUGAUCCUAAAAUUGUUUUUAUUUUUCUGUUUUUUUGAGAGGGAGUCUCGCUCUGUCACCCAGGCUGGAGUGCAGUAGCACGAUCUUGGCUCACUUCAACCUCCGCGUCCCGGGUCCAAGCGAUUCUAGCGCCUCAGCCUCCUGAGUAGCUGGGAUUACAGGUGUGCACCACCAUGCCCAGCUAAUUUUUUGUAUUUUUAGUAGAGACUGGGUUUUGCCAUGUUGGCCAGGCUGGUCUCCAAUUCCUGACCUCCAGUGAUCCACCCCCCUCAGUCUCCCAAAGUGCUGGGAUUACAGGCGUGAGCCACCACGCCCAGCCAAUAGUGGAAUUGUUGCCGGACAAUAUUUAUUUAAAAGACAUUAUUGUAAAGAGUAACAGUGUAAUUCUGGCUCCUUGAAAUUUGAGGGGAAUGAUUUUUCUGGACAUUCGACCAGUGCUUUCUAAAUUUCUCCACUGAAUUCUAUCUAAUGACAGAUGAGAGGACACUGAAAGUAGGAGUAGCCAUAAGUCACCAGUGCAAAAUGUCUUUUGAAGUUUGCAUUUAUUGAUUGCUACCAUUUAUGUAAAGUUUUACAGUUUUGACAGUCAUAGGGUUCACCAAUCCACCAUAGAAGAGAAUUAAGUCAUGCGGACACAGCAGGGUUUAGAAUGGAUGAGUAGAGGAGUGUGUGCAGGCUCCAGUCCCCAAAGUCUCUAGGACUGUCCUAGAACCUGCAGCUCAUCUGUCAAUUCUGUCAACUACUCAGGAUCCUCUCAAGAAUUAUCCCCCCAUACCCACCUUUUAAAUUUCCUCAAGCUAGUUUCAUUUGAGUUUUGUCACUUGCAACUGAAUGAGCCCUGCUAAUGCAGAUAGAUUCAAUUGAGAAGGGGAAUUCUAGGCUAGGAGUACAAGGUUACAGGCAAGGAGACAGGAACAUAGCUUGGGAUUUCCUGGGGCAGUGAGAAAACUGACUUUAAAAAAAUGGAAUGGUUUCUAAAAUGUUUGUACAACUUCUCUGUAUGGCAAUGGGGUAGGAGUAUAAAUUCUUUCAGCUUCUUCUGAGGGCAGCUGAACAAGAAGUAUAAAAAUUUUGAAUGCUGAUAACAUUUGACCUAGCAAUUCCAUCUCUAGAAAUAAAUUCUACAGUAGUAAUCUUAAAAACGUAUUCACUGAAAUGUUAUUUUCUCAUAGAAAAUGUCGAAACAACAUAUGUGUCCAUCAAUAGAGAACUUGCUAAAUGAUUUAUACUACCUUUACAUAUUGAAAUACGCAUAGCCGUGGAAGAUAAUUUAGUAGAUCUAUAUGUCCCAUUAUGGAACAAUCCCCAUGGUGGGGGGAAAAGUAAGGUGCAGAACUGUAUCAUAGAUGUUCUCUCUCUCUCUCUUUUUUUUUGGAAAGCACAUGUAUGCUUUUAUAUACACAGAAAAAUUCUAGAAUGGCAAACAAGAUAUCUUUGCAAUAGUUUUUUUCUGGGAGGGGACUCAUUUAAAAAAAUUCUCCCAUAUUGCUUGUUUUGUUUUGUUAAAGACAUCCAUGUAUUCCUACUUGGGUUAAGCCAUGAUAACUAAAUAUGAUUAAAGUUCAGAACAAUAAAAACCUUAGAGAUGUAUACAUAAAUAUCACUUGCUUAGGAAUUUCUAGGUAGGUACUAUUUUAAGCCCUCUACAUAUAUUAUUUCAUUCAAUCCUUGGAGCAACUCUAGGAGGGAGGUGUUAUCCUCUAAUUGCAGAUGAGGUUGAUGAAGCUUAAAGAGUAAUGAUGCCUUGAGUCCAUCCUCUGGCUCCAAAGCCCUUGUAUUUAACUGUUCUCCCUUUUGCAUCCCUGUGCUAAAGUGACUUUGCUAUAAUAUCCACAAGGAAGAAUUUCUGUGUAAAAAUUAGACUUCCUUGCAGGCAGUCUAUCAGUGAUAUCCAAUAAAGACUCAAUAAUGGCUAACAAUACAAACCACACACACAAGAAAAACUUCUCCUUUUGUGCCAGGUACUUAGAUUAGGUGUAGUGGUUUUCUUAAACUGAUUAUCAAGGUAAACACCACCUCAUACAUUUCAGCAGAGAGCAGUGGUUUCUCUCUCCAGCAGUGGGAGCCAUUGAAUCAGGACAAUGCCACACAGUUGGGCUUUCAUGUUAGAUAGAUCACUCUUGUGGUUUUGGGGGAUGGCAUUAUAAGAGAGGAGACUGGAGACAGGGGGGCUAUUGUCAUGCAGAUUUGUUGGAUGUCCACCCAGCAUUCACUUUUUCCAUCUUUUGCCAGGGGUACACUACACAACAUCACCAGUCAUUUCAUAGAAUGGCAAUUAGAUUAGGCUUAGGUCUGCACUGCCUUCCUUCACUCCGCUCUGUCACUUGCCAUCAUUGUAAAUGCUGACAACUUAGUGCCUUUCAUGCUUCAAGUAUCAAUAAGAUAGGAAUAGUAAUAGUAUCACAUUGAAUUAUUGUGGAGUUUUGAACAGAUGAUACUUGUGUUAUCAGUGCUCAAUAAAUAUUAGCUGUCCUCUUCCUUAUUGUUGUUGUCCUCAACUAUGUAUUUUAAAUGGGAUUAGUCACACAACUCCUCAUGUCCCCCACCCAUUAAUACCUGACUCCUUUGCAAAACAAAGCAUAGCAUAUGGUGGUGGGGAUUACAAAAUCGUUACAGAAAUUUCAUAUGUAAAAAAGGGGCAAGAGUUGGCCAGUUUGACACUUCCUUAACCUAUUUUAUUUUUCUUAAAUAUUACAGUAUCACCAGAUAUACUUUCUAUUUAUUUCUUCUCUGAGAGUAUGCAAUUUGUCUGAUGUGUUGCCUGCUGUUUUUGGGUGAGUGAUAAAUAUGAGUUCUAUAUAGGGGGUGAAGAAAGCAUUCCAUGAGUGGGACUGUAUGAACAAUGGAGAAAAGUCAUGAAGGAAAGAUGGCAUUCCAUGUGGACUCGAGUAAAGUGAACAUGAUAUCUUGUCUAUAAGGGGGAUCAUACAUUUAAAGCAUUCAGCAACCUGUAACCAACACAACAGUCUUUCCAAGAAGAAGAGAGUAUGAGCUUUUAGAGGGGAAGAAAAGUAUCCUCUUCCCUUGAGAAGCAUUCAGAGCAUCUAGUAUCACACUUGGGAUAUAGCAGGCAUUUGGUACUCAAUUAAAGAAUAGAAUGUGAUUAAAUAACUUUGAGGGCCCACAUGGAUGACUUUGAAUACGGAUCAAAAGUUUGGACUUAGCUUGUCAGUAAUGAGGAGCCUUUGGUAUGAUCAACAGGAGAAGUAACAUAGCACAUCUGAGAUAUAGAGUAAAAUGGAAACCUUGAGCAAAGGUAGGCUAGUUAGGAGUCUGUUUCAAUAGACCAAAGGAGAUGGAGAGCAUGAGGGGCUCAGUUAGUCUUGUGGUGGUGGAAAUAAAGAGGAAAAAGCAGGUGCAGAAAACAUUCAGAGGAGGAAACAAUGGGCUGUUGAAACAAAUUGGAUAUUUGGGACAAUAGCAAGAGAAAAGUCAAAGAUAACUGGGAUUUUAAUCCUGAGCAACGGGUAGGCUAGUGAGACAUCUAAUCACUCUCCCCGUCUCCUUCCCUGAAAGUUAAUUACUCACAGAAAAAGCAUUAGCCAGAAGUCAGCAUGUUUACAUCAGUUCCUUAACCCUGCAAGUCCACAUUGGUGAUGCAGGUGGCCAAGACAGGUGCUGCACACACUGGAUUACAGCAUGGAAGAGGAGCCCAGGGUCAUGGAGGCACCCAGCAAGUGGCAAAAUAUGGGCACCUUGACCUACUGGGUUGCCUAUGUGACCAGCUACAGAAGCUGCUCAGUAUCAGGAGCUGGAGCUGCCUGCAAUCUGGCCACUCAGCAAGAAUUUUCAGAGACUGUUUCUAUUCCAUAGUGGAUGCUCCAUCCAACACCAUUCUUUUAAAGUGCGCACAUCUGAUCACUUUCCAAGUAUAAAUGGCCUGAAUUUAUUUUCCUUUCUUUACCAAAAUCCAACCUAAGUAAUUUUUUUCUUUCCAUACUCCUUAUUCAUGAACUCUAAUUGUUGGUAACUUUGAGAGCAUUGGUCAUCUUAAUUUCUUACCACUAAUGACAUGACAAGUUAAUUUCUGCAAUAAGAACAGCUAAAAUUAUUUUUAUAUCUUCUAACAUAAUAUUUUGUCAUGAAUGCUUUCCUAGAAUCUUCCUUCUGGAAUCCUACUUUUUAUGUAGUUUGGAGAUUCUCUUUUCUAAAAUAAAGAUUAGCAUGUAAGAUAAUAAAGUUAUUAUAUAUUUCAUCCAAACUGUAAAAAUACAUUGAAUAUUUUACUUCUUAAUUCCUCUAGGUAAUAUAAAAGUAUUUUAGACAGUUUUAUAUUGUAUUAAUUGAAGCAUAUCAAAGUUGAUUGAUUUCUAAAGACUGUGAACUCAACCCACAUAAGAGGAGGCAAAAGUAAAGAUUAGAACUUGCCAUUUCUAUUCCAGUCCAUUAAUUCUAGCUUAAGCUAUUUCUGAUAAGUGUGUACUCUGGAGAAAAAAAAAAUGUUAUUUGAAGAGUGGCCACUAUAUUUGUUUCUGGCAAAACUAAAGUUUUAAAAUUCCAGUUCCUCAACAAAUGGAAGAUGGAAUUUUCCAGUUCUUCAAAGUAUGAUUUUUAGGACUUGCUACUAAAGGUUAAAUUUUCUCUCUCUAUUAUAACAUAUUCAUGGAUCCUUUAGACAUUAAAGUAAAGUUGGAGUGGAAGAGUAGAAAAUAACAGA